rnacentral:rRNA from 1 species
GUAGGGAAUCUUGCGCAAUGGGCGAAAGCCUGACGCAGCCAUGCCGCGUGAAUGAUGAAGGUCUUAGGAUUGUAAAAUUCUUUCACCGGGGACGAUAAUGACGGUACCCGGAGAAGAAGCCCCGGCUAACUUCGUGCCAGCAGCCGCGGUAAUACGAAGGGGGCUAGCGUUGCUCGGAUUUACUGGGCGUAAAGGGCGCGUAGGCGGACAUUUAAGUCAGGGGUGAAAUCCCGGGGCUCAACCUCGGAACUGCCUUUGAUACUGGGUGUCUUGAGUAUGAGAGAGGUGUGUGGAACUCCGAGUGUAGAGGUGAAAUUCGUAGAUAUUCGGAAGAACACCAGUGGCGAAGGCGACACACUGGCUCAUUACUGACGCUGAGGCGCGAAAGCGUGGGGAGCAAACAGGAUUAGAAACCCGUGUAGUCC